GUGGUUGACGGUACCAUUUGAAUANGCACCGGCUAACUCCGUGCCAGCAGCCGCGGUAAUACGGAGGGUGCAAGCGUUAUCCGGAUUCACUGGGUUUAAAGGGUGCGUAGGUGGGCAGGUAAGUCAGUGGUGAAAUCUCCGGGCUUAACCCGGAAACUGCCGUUGAUACUAUCUGUCUUGAAUNNCGUGGAGGUGAGCGGAAUAUGUCAUGUAGCGGUGAAAUGCUUAGAUAUGACAUAGAACAUCAAUUGCGAAGGCAGCUCGCUACACGGUUAUUGACACUGAGGCACGAGAGCGUGGGGAUCAAACAGGAUUAGAUACCCUGGUAGUCCACGCCCUAAACGAUGAUUACUNNACAUGUGCGAUACACUGUACGUGUCUGAGCGAAAGCAUUAAGUAAUCCACCUGGGAAGUACGACCGCAAGG
rnacentral:rRNA from 1 species